GCAUAUCAAUAAGCGGAGGAAAAGAAACCAACAGGGAUUGCCCUAGUAACGGCGAGUGAAGCGGCAACAGCUCAAAUUUGAAAUCUGGCGCAAGCCCGAGUUGUAAUUUGCAGAGGAUGCUUCUGGGCAGCGGCCGUUCUAAGUUCCUUGGAACAGGACGUCAUAGAGGGUGAGAAUCCCGUAUGUGACCGGCGCGCACCCUCCACGUAGCUCCUUCGACGAGUCGAGUUGUUUGGGAAUGCAGCUCUAAAUGGGAGGUAAAUUUCUUCUAAAGCUAAAUACCGGCCAGAGACCGAUAGCGCACAAGUAGAGUGAUCGAAAGAUGAAAAGCACUUUGGAAAGAGAGUUAAAAAGCACGUGAAAUUGUUGAAAGGGAAGCGCUUGCAACCAGACUUCGCGGCGGUGUUCCGCCGGUCUUUUGACCGGUCUACUCGCCGCCGCGAGGCCAACAUCGUCUGGGGCCGCCGGAUAAGACCAUGGGAAUGUGGCUCCCUCGGGAGUGUUAUAGCCCACGGUGAUGCGGCGUGUCCCGGGCGAGGUCCGCGCUCGG
rnacentral:rRNA from 1 species